GGCCCGUUAGCUCAGCUGGUUAGAGCGUCAGCGAAUAACGCGAAGGUCAGUGGGUUCGAUCCCCUACGGGCCG